rfam:Dipodomys ordii contig_16396, whole genome shotgun sequence.
GGUGGCUCAGCCGUAGAGUGCAUGCUUUGCAAGCAUGAGGCCCUGGAUUCGAUUCCUCAGCACCA